GCUCGGUGGUUUCCUCCGCGCUCCCGUUUCCAUGGCUUCGGUUUCCUCCUUGAUUCUCGUCUCCGUCCGAAGCCUGUGCUGUAACGUAGGAUUUUACUAGAAGAGCAGGGCUGGUGGUUCGGGAGACGUUGAACUCCUAGAGGGAGGAGGACGGGGAAGCCCGUGCUGGUGUGAUUUCCAUUACAACGAACGUCUCUGUCAUAAAAAUAAGACUUGGAACCCCCAAGGUUGAAACAGCCAAGUAGAAUUUGCUAGAAAUAUAUUUAGGAACAGCCAAUUCAUCAGAAUAAUGCUUGGUAUCCUUUUCAUUAAAGGAAUUGGCCUGUUAAAGUGGGUCUAAAUGGAACUCUAAAAGCUUUUUAUUUUUUUCAUCGUUGAGGAAGAAAACGUUUCCUUUCAGUGUAUUUUUCAUUUUCCAGAUUCAUUCAUUUAACAAAUGUCAGUGGAGUGCUUUUCCAUGUGCAAGGGCCUGCGCAAGGCACAGAACGUUCUAGAUGCCUGAAGCACCAAAACUUAAAUCAUUCUUAGUUCCAAGAAAACCAUUCAAAAUAUUUUCAAUGCUUUUGUGCCUUUCACGCACACAAUAUUCCAAGGCAUUCUUUGUGCAACAUAUGCAUGAAAACAAGAGAGGAAAGAAAAAUACCCUCUGAGAGACCCAAUUACAGAAUGGAGUUACACCCAGUUCAUUAUUUAAAAAAUAUGUUUAUUUAAAAGGAAAGGGGAAUAUUCUGGGGGGAAAAAUUAAGGAAGGGCAAAAUAGGAAUGAGAAACAUAGUGGAAGUGACUGUGAUCCCCUGAUGGUGGGAAGCGAAUCACCAAAGGAACCUAAAUAUGAAGUCAUGAGAAGCUUUGAGUGGACUCCGCAUUUUUGUACUUCCCAUGAGGGGGGAAGUUGCCGGUGACCUCUUUAUUGUAUUCACCACGAUUCAAGAGACAGAAAGCUGUCCUUCUGACCUCGGAAGUAGGGUGUCUGCAUAUUUAUAGUCACCAUGAGCCCAUGAGCCCGGAGCUGACCCUUACUCCAAGGAUGGCUGAUAUCACACAUUUAAUAAUUGAUUCUUGUUAGCUUCCAUUUAUUCAACCUUUUCUGACCUUGUCUUCAAAUUCUGGAUACAUCUUAUUUGAUUUCCCUGGGUCAUUCUAAAGCCCCACCGUGUCCAGAUGGGAAAAUAUAAAGAAAGCAGAAACUUUGGAGUCCAAAGAUCAGGAUUUUCGUGUCAGCGUGCCACAUCUUGCCUAUAUAAUUUCAAAGCAGGUAUGAAAACCUUUCUGUGUGAUCUUGCUUCACAGAGAAAAUAGAGGCUUACAGAUGUGAACUCUAGCUUCCAGCUUCCCCAG